rnacentral:tmRNA from 1 species
GGGGAUGUUUAUAUUCGAUAAUACUGCUCCUUUUAUUACUGGCUAGGGAUGCUGAGUACCACCCAAAACUGCUCAAAUUUCUCUAAGUGCAAACUUUGUAGAAAAAGCAAAAGAUAAGGUACGAGCGCUUGCUAGUGCUUUGCAACCAGCUUUUGCUCCUGUUGUAGCAUAAGCCUACGACCAUCCGCGGUUCUGACACCUAAUAGGAAUCAUCCGGGUGCCAAAUUAUUAGGAUAUACUACGUUAGGCUGAAAUAACGUAGCGAAAAUUCUUCAGAUCGAGAAUUACUAUUUUGACUGGUUUUAAGGUAAUUCUUUAAAUAUAAAAACCAAUCUAUCCUAGUAGAAGGUAAUAAAUUGACAUAUUAGACGCGGGCGUGAACCCCGCCAUCUCCACCA